AUAAACCUUUGACAUAGACCCAACAGGUCCAUAUGUAGUUCCAGGCGCUGGAGGUGGAUUAGCAGAGGAAUCCUUGACUAGAGUGUAUUGUGGACGCAGAUCAGAAGAUGGCAGAUAUGGAGGCAUAGGAGUAACAGGGAAACUGUGAGGAUAUGGAGCGACUGGCACAUCGGCAAGUGAUGAUGCUGAAAUACUAUAGUUUGGAGUACCCAUCGGAUGAUCAAACUUGCA
rnacentral:lncRNA from 1 species